rnacentral:lncRNA from 1 species
CCGCAAGCCGCUGUCUUCAAGCCGCACAAAGUGUUCUAUGAGUUUCCAUCUACACCAAACGGGUUGACCCACCUUCAGACCGCAAGCUGCUGUCUUCAAGCCGCACAAAGUGUUCUAUGAGUUCCCAUCUACACCAAGCGGGUUGACCCACCGUCAGACCG